GGCAUAGACCACAGACAAUGAGAAGAACGGCGACAUUCGGGCUCCCACCAUAUCAAAACUUCACAUUGGAAGAAAUGGAAGACGCAACAAACAAUUUUGACCCAUCAAAUUUGGUGGGGGAAGGCUCUCAGGGACAGGUAAAGGAAGGAUCCAUUUCCCCCCUGUUUUUGAAUCCUUAAUACAAAAAUGCAAUCUUUUCAAUAUCUUCUUUAUUUCAAACGUACAUAUUUUCAGUGUUAUAAGUUGGUUCAUUUCUAUGUUUUUGAAAAAACAUACAUAAAUUUACUUCAUUGUUGCUACAGAUGUAUAAAGGUUGGCUUAGAGAUGGAUCAACAGUAGUGGUAAAAUGUUUAAAAGUCAAACAGAAGCACUCCCCGCAAGCACUGAAGCAGCAUACAGAAAUGAUAUCCAAGCUAAGGCACCGGCAUCUAGUGAGUGUUCUUGGACACUGCACUGUUACAUAUCUAGACCACCCCAGCACGGAAAGCACUGUCUUUAUUGUUCUAGAAUACGUCGGGAAGGGAUCAUUAAGGGAUCAUCUUACAGGUAUGUGUAUAUAUAUAUAUAUAUAUGUUUUACAUUUUUCUACUAAAUAUUGAAACUAUUUAUGAGUAUAUACUUGGUUGCUUUUUAAUUGGUAGAUUGGAGAAAGAAAGAAAUGCUGAAAUGGCCGCAGAGAAUGGCGAUCACAAUGGGUAUUGCAAAAGGAAUCCAAUUCUUACACACAGGAUUAGCAUCUGGAAAUUUCGGGAAUGAUUUAAAGAUUGAAAACAUAUUGUUGGAUGACAGUCUUACCCCAAAAAUUACAAGUUAUAACAUUCCCUUGCCAUCUAAGGUAAAUGUUGUAAGAAAAAGCACAAAUUGUUAUUUAAUUCUGCUAAAACUUGUUGUUUGUUUUUUUAAUUAUUUAAAACUCAAGUUGAAUAUCAAUUAUGACAAAGCUCACCUUGUGAAAUUUUUAGGUAGGUUCAGAAAGUCCUCUUCUUCUUAACAGACAAGAGCCAUCUAAUCUUCAAUGCAGGAGGUUUGUUUCUUUGUCUUUACUUUCUUCUUGACAGCAAUAUAGUAGUUCUUAGUCUUCUCAUGAAAGCUCAAUAUUGAUACAGCAACGAAGAUCCCGAGAAAGAUGAUAUUUA
rnacentral:lncRNA from 1 species